UACGAGGGGUGCAAGCGUUAUUCGGAAUGAUUGGGCGUAAAGGGUGCGUAGGCGGCAUAUUAAGUCUAUUGUUAAAUUCUCCGGCUUAACCGGAGCCAUGCGAUGGAAACUGGUCUGCUAGAGGGUGAAAGAGAGAAGUGGAAUUCGUCGGAGUAGCGGUAAAAUGCUUAGAUCUCGGAAGAGGAACACCAAUGGCGAAGGCAGCUUCUUGGUUCAUUUCUGACGCUGAGGCUACGAAAGCGUGGGGAGCAAACAGGGA
rnacentral:rRNA from 1 species